CCGGCGGCGCCGCUGGGUCUUUUGCUCUGGCGGGAGGUCUGGCCCCGAACCAGGGUCUCCUCCGGUAGGGCAGCGAGCAGCCCCGUUUUUCUUUCCCCGGCGAAAUCUAGGAUUUUUAAAUCACAGGAACAUAGACACCUACGCGCUAGCUGCCCAACCCAAACUCGCUGGGUAUGUCCUAAACCUAAUCACUUCUGGGAUAUAAAAAGAGCCGAUUAGGUGCACAAGGAAACACAGAUGAAGGGAAUACAUGUCACAUGAAGAUCAUCAAGGAACUGAGGAAUGCUGGGGCUACAGAAGUUGAAAAAGACAAGACUCUUCCCCCAGAGCCCACAGAGAGAGAGCCUUCCCCUCGAGCCAGUGCCCUGAAUUCAGACUUCCAGCCUCCUCAAUGGAUUCCCUAGGCGGCACAAACUGUUAAUGCUCUCAGUGGUUAACUGAAAGGUUGGAGGUUUGAAUCCACCCAGAGUCACCUUGGAAGAAAGGUCUGGCAAUCUACUGAAAAAUUAACCAUUGAAAACCCUGUGGAGCACAGCUCUACCCUGACACACGUGGGGGUCAGAAUCAACUUCAUGGCAACUGGUGGUUAUAUGCGUACAGUGAUUCCAUUUUCAUAUGAUACGUAACGGAAAGUGCAGCUGCUUCUACUCCUGCUGAACUGAACUUCUUUGUUCUCUCCAAAUGCCCUAGGGUCCUUGCAGCUAGGGGAUGGCCAUGUGAACCCAGGUUGGCAAAUGAGGCGCAAGGAGACAUAAGGAAGUAGCAAAACAGUUGGGGGAGGUUGAGGAAUACUCUUCUUUCCUGACCAAAGGGGAUGAAGCAGGUGGUAUGGCCCUUCCCUUCCCCCCUUUCUCCUUUCUUCCUUGGAUGCACAGGAUGAAGCUGUAGCAGCUGUUCUGUGACUAUGAAGAAACCCCAAGAGAAAUGCAGAGAGAGACUUAGUCCUGAUGUCAUUGAAACACAGAGCCAUCACCAGCAAUCACCCACCUCCAUAACUUUUGCUAUGUUAGAAAAAUAAAAUCCCUGCUUGUUUAAGUCAUUGAAGUUGGGUGUUUUUAUACUUGCAGUCAAACGCAUCUUUAACCUGUAUCCUUUAGCAAAUAUUAUUUUUAAUGGUGUUACUACAGUCCAAAAAAGAGUUAGAAACCUCUAUUAGAGGCUGGCCUUCAAGUAUUGUUUUCGAAAUUGCCUCAGCAGCAGGCAACAUGCCCAAGGGUUAGCUUUGGUUUUUCAGAAUAGCCAAAAGUCACUUGGAGUCCAGUCUAGUAAUACCCUUAGCCCUCAGUAUUGCCAUAAAGCAUUGCAUAGUGGACAGUUAGU